rnacentral:rRNA from 1 species
ACGGCCGCAAGGUUAAAACUCAAAUGAAUUGACGGGGGCCCGCACAAGCGGUGGAGCAUGUGGUUUAAUUCGAUGCAACGCGAAGAACCUUACCUGGUCUUGACAUCCACGGAAGUUUUCAGAGAUGAGAAUGUGCCUUCGGGAACCGUGAGACAGGUGCUGCAUGGCUGUCGUCAGCUCGUGUUGUGAAAUGUUGGGUUAAGUCCCGCAACGAGCGCAACCCUUAUCCUUUGUUGCCAGCGGUCCGGCCGGGAACUCAAAGGAGACUGCCAGUGAUAAACUGGAGGAAGGUGGGGAUGACGUCAAGUCAUCAUGGCCCUUACGACCAGGGCUACACACGUGCUACAAUGGCGCAUACAAAGAGAAGCGACCUCGCGAGAGCAAGCGGACCUCAUAAAGUGCGUCGUAGUCCGGAUUGGAGUCUGCAACUCGACUCCAUGAAGUCGGAAUCGCUAGUAAUCGUGGAUCAGAAUGCCACGGUGAAUACGUUCCCGGGCCUUGUACACACCGCCCGUCACACCAUGGGAGUGGGUUGCAAAAGAAGUAGGUAGCUUAACC